GGUAUUGAAAUAAGAUUUUAAAUGAGUGCUAAGAGAAUGAUUAAACAAUUAAAAGCUUUCUUUAAUUAAAUAAUUAAAUUUAAUUUUUUUAGUGCAAAAGCAAAAAUGAAAUUUAGGGACAAGAAGACCCUAUGAAUUUUUAUUGUUAAUGAUUUAAAUUUUAAUUAUUAACAAUUUAAUUGGGGUGAUAAAAAAAGAAUAAGUAUCUUUUUAAUUAUAAAAUAAGUUCCGUUUUUAGCGAUUAAAUGAAAUAAAUACUCUAGGGAUAACAGCGUAAUAAUUUUGGAUAGUUCAUAUAGAUAAAAUAGUUUGCGACCUCGAUGUUGGAUUAGGAUUCUUUUUUGGUGAAGAA
rnacentral:rRNA from 1 species